ACGGCUCAGUAACACGUGGACAACCUACCCUAUGGAGGGGGAUAACCCCGGGAAACUGGGGAUAAUACCCCAUAGACUAUGAAUGCUGGAAUGCUUUGUAGUUGAAAGGUCCGCCGCCAUAGGAUGGGUCUGCGGCCGAUUAGGUUGUUGUUGGGGUAACGGCCCAACAAGCCUGUAAUCGGUACGGGUUGUGGGAGCAAGAGCCCGGAGAUGGAUUCUGAGACACGAAUCCAGGCCCUACGGGGCGCAGCAGGCGCGAAAACUUUACAAUGCGGGAAACCGUGAUAAGGGAACUCCGAGUGCCCGUAAAAUCGGGCUGUCCAUCUGUUUAAAUAACAGGUGAAGAAAGGGCCGGGCAAGACCGGUGCCAGCCGCCGCGGUAAUACCGGCGGCUCGAGUGGUGGCCACUAUUACUGGGCUUAAAGCGUUCGUAGCUGGUCUGUUAAGUCUCUGGGGAAAUCUACUGGCUUAACCAAUAGGCGUUUCAGGGAUACUGGCAGACUAGGGACCGGGAGAGGUGAGGGGUACUCCAGGGGUAGGAGUGAAAUCCUGUAAUCCUUGGGGGACCACCUGUGGCGAAGGCGCCUCACCAGAACGGCUCCGACAGUGAGGGACGAAAGCUGGGGGAGCAAACCGGAUUAGAUACCCGGGUAGUCCCAGCCGUAAACGAUGCGCGUUAGGUGUAUCGGUGACCACGAGUCACCGAGGUGCCGAAGAGAAAUCGUGAAACGUGCCGCCUGGGAAGUACGGUCGCAAGGCUGAAACUUAAAGGAAUUGGCGGGGGAGCAC
rnacentral:rRNA from 1 species